UGGGGAAUAUUGCACAAUGGGCGCAAGCCUGAUGCAGCCAUGCCGCGUGUGUGAAGAAGGCCUUCGGGUUGUAAAGCACUUUCAGCGAGGAGGAAGGUGGUGAGCUUAAUACGCUCAUCAAUUGACGUUACUCGCAGAAGAAGCACCGGCUAACUCCGUGCCAGCAGCCGCGGUAAUACGGGAGGGUGCAAGCGUUAAUCGGAAUUACUGGGCGUAAAGCGCACGCAGGCGGUUUGUUAAGUCAGNUGUGAAAUCCCCGGGCUCAACCUGGGAACUGCAUUUGGAAACUGGCAAGCUAGAGUCUCGUAGAGGGGGGUAGAAUUCCAGGUGUAGCGGUGAAAUGCGUAGAGAUCUGGAGGAAUACCGGUGGCGAAGGCGGCCCCCUGGACGAAGACUGACGCUCAGGUGCGAAAGCGUGGGGAGCAAACAGGAUUAGAUACCCUGGUAGUCCACGCUGUAAACGAUGUCGAUUUUGGGAGGUUGUGCCCUUGAGGCGUGGCUUCCGGAGCUAACGCGUUAAAUCGACCGCCUGGGGAGUACGGCCGCAAGGUUAAAACUUAAAGG
rnacentral:rRNA from 1 species